rnacentral:rRNA from 1 species
UGAACGCUGGCGGCGUGCCUAAUACAUGCAAGUCGAGCGAACAGACGAGGAGCUUGCUCCUCUGACGUUAGCGGCGGACGGGUGAGUAACACGUGGAUAACCUACCUAUAAGACUGGGAUAACUUCGGGAAACCGGAGCUAAUACCGGAUAAUAUAUUGAACCGCAUGGUUCAAUAGUGAAAGACGGUUUUGCUGUCACUUAUAGAUGGAUCCGCGCCGCAUUAGCUAGUUGGUAAGGUAACGGCUUACCAAGGCAACGAUGCGUAGCCGACCUGAGAGGGUGAUCGGCCACACUGGAACUGAGACACGGUCCAGACUCCUACGGGAGGCAGCAGUAGGGAAUCUUCCGCAAUGGGCGAAAGCCUGACGGAGCAACGCCGCGUGAGUGAUGAAGGUCUUCGAUCGUAAAACUCUGUUAUUAGGGAAGAACAAAUGUGUAAGUAACUAUGCACGUCUUGACGGUACCUAAUCAGAAAGCCACGGCUAACUACGUG